UACGUAGGUGGCAAGCGUUGUCCGGAAUUAUUGGGCGUAAAGCGCGCGCAGGCGGUUUCUUAAGUCUGAUGUGAAAGCCCACGGCUUAACCGUGGAAGGUCAUUGGAAACUGGGAGACUUGAGUGCAGAAGAGAAGAGCGGAAUUCCACGUGUAGCGGUGAAAUGCGUAGAGAUGUGGAGGAACACCAGUGGCGAAGGCGGCUCUUUGGGACGGUACUGACGCUGAGACGCGAAAGCGUGGGGGAGCGAACAGG
rnacentral:rRNA from 1 species